UAAAAAAACCCACCAUCGGUGGGUUUUUUCACACUAAAGCGGCUUAGUUAGUCGCUUUAUUUUUCA
rnacentral:sRNA from 1 species